GACGUAGGGCGCGAGCGUUGUCCGGAUUUAUUGGGCGUAAAGAGCUCGUAGGCGGUUUGUCGCGUCGGCUGUGAAAACUCGGGGCUCAACCCCGAGCCUGCAGUCGAUACGGGCAGACUAGAGUGCUGUAGGGGAGACUGGAAUUCCUGGUGUAGCGGUGAAAUGCGCAGAUAUCAGGAGGAACACCGGUGGCGAAGGCGGGUCUCUGGGCAGUAACUGACGCUGAGGAGCGAAAGCGUGGGGAGCGAACAGG
rnacentral:rRNA from 1 species